CAGUGAAGGGGUUGAGACAGGUCACAGCCUCCAGCGGAUGGGAACCAGCCUUAGAGGGAGGUUGAAGGAAGCCGCAGGGACUGAGAACGGGGCGAGGUGCUGGGCCCGCCUGCUGUCUGCUGGCCUGUCUGCCUCUCUUAGGGCCGCACACUGGGGAGAUACACCCCCACCUCCCCCAGCCUGGAGGAAGGCGUACCGGCCUGGAGGAAGGCGUGUUUGGGCACAGAUUUGCUCAGUGGCUUCUGGAGGGGAGAAACAGUCACCUUUCCUUACUUCUUCCAAGUCAGACAGACUCUCUGGACUCCAGCUGGCAGGGACAGUGUGUGGACCUGACGGCGGCCCCUUCUCUUGUCCCGGGCCAGGAACGAGGUCAGCACUGGAAGGUGCUGGGAAACCAGAUUUAGGUGAUGGAGAGGAACAUGGAUGUGUAGCCAGCCUGAGGGGAUGCUAGAACCUUCUGUUGACCCCUACCAGCCUGUGUAAUCAUGGCUCUCAUUGAGCUCUCUUGGACACUGGAAGUCAGCUGGAUCAUGAAGGACAAGUGGAUGUAGACCCGCUGGGCUGUGGGCAUAGUGAAGGACCCUCGCAGUGACUGAGAACUGAUGCCCAGGUCCAGGCUCUGAAUCCAGAGAGGCAAGACCCGUGUGUGGCCCUCUAGUUCUACGCUCUCAUGAUGGAGAAUUCUGCGGUCAUUCUCAUGGAGACAGGUGUGUCUCAGGAGCCUCACGGCUCAGGCAGGCUGCCCUCCGGCCCGAAACAACCUUCCUCGAGCCCUGUGCACCCCAAACAAAAGCUGCAUCUGACUCCUCAGCCUUUGUGCACAUCUGCAUUAUUAGCAAUGCUAAUACCAUUCUGCAAUGAUAAAUAAUUAAACAAUUAUGGUCAUGAA